rnacentral:tRNA from 1 species
GGUAGGGUGGCCGAGCGGUCUAAGGCGCUGGUUUAAGGUAUCAGUCUCUUCGGAGGCGUGGGUUCGAAUCCCACCCCUGCCA